AACGAACGCUGGCGGCGUGUCUUAAGCAUGCAAGUCGAGCGGCAAGGAUAGCAAUAUCCCUAGAGCGGCGGACUGGUGAGUAACACGUGGGUGAUCUGCCCUUGAGUUGGGGAUAGCCAUUAGAAAUAGUGGGUAAUACCGAAUACGUUGCCAAGCUUGCGAGCUUGGCAGGAAAGGCGCUACGGCGCCGCCCGAGGAUGAGCCCGCGCCUCAUUAGCUAGUUGGUGGGGUAAAGGCCUACCAAGGCGAUGAUGAGUAGCCGGCCUGAGAGGGUGUACGGCCACACUGGGACUGAGAUACGGCCCAGACUCCUACGGGUGGCAG
rnacentral:rRNA from 1 species